rnacentral:rRNA from 1 species
UACGUAGGGUGCAAGCGUUGUCCGGAAUUAUUGGGCGUAAAGAGCUCGUAGGCGGUUUGUUGCGUCGGCUGUGAAAUCCCUCGGCUCAACCGAGGAACUGCACUCGAUACUGGUUGGCUAGAGUCCGGGAGGGGAUGGUGGAAUUCCCAGUGUAGCGGUGAAAUGCGUAGAUAUUGGGAAGAACACCGGUGGCGAAGGCGGCCAUCUGGACCGGAACUGACGCUGAGGCGCGAAAGCCAGGGGAGCGAAUGGG